GAUGAACGCUGGCGGCGUGCCUAAUACAUGCAAGUCGAGCGAACAGAUAAGGAGCUUGCUCCUUUGACGUUAGCGGCGGACGGGUGAGUAACACGUGGAUAACCUACCUAUAGACUGGGAUAACUUCGGGAAACCGGAGCUAAUACCGGAUAACAUAUUGAACCGCAUGGUUCAAUAGUGAAAGGCGGCUUUGCUGUCACUUAUAGAUGGAUCCGCGCCGUAUUAGCUAGUUGGUAAGGUAACGGCUUACCAAGGCAACGAUACGUAGCCGACCUGAGAGGGUGAUCGGCCACACUGGAACUGAGACACGGUCCAGACUCCUACGGGAGGCAGCAGUAGGGAAUCUUCCGCAAUGGGCGAAAGCCUGACGGAGCAACGCCGCGUGAGUGAUGAAGGUCUUCGGAUCGUAAAACUCUGUUAUCAGGGAAGAACAAAUGUGUAAGUAACUGUGCACAUCUUGACGGUACCUGAUCAGAAAGCCACGGCUAACUACGUG
rnacentral:rRNA from 1 species